rnacentral:rRNA from 1 species
GAUGAACGCUGGCGGCGUGCCUAAUACAUGCAAGUCGAGCGAACAGACGAGGAGCUUGCUCCUCUGACGUUAGCGGCGGACGGGUGAGUAACACGUGGAUAACCUACCUAUAAGACUGGGAUAACUUCGGGAAACCGGAGCUAAUACCGGAUAAUAUAUUGAACCGCAUGGUUCAAUAGUGAAAGACGGUUUUGCUGUCACUUAUAGAUGGAUCCGCGUCGCAUUAGCUAGUUGGUAAGGUAACGGCUUACCAAGGCAACGAUGCGUAGCCGACCUGAGAGGGUGAUCGGCCACACUGGAACUGAGACACGGUCCAGACUCCUACGGGAGGCAGCAGUAGGGAAUCUUCCGCAAUGGGCGAAAGCUUGACGGAGCAACGCCGCGUGAGUGAUGAAGGUCUUCGGAUCGUAAAACUCUGUUAUUAGGGAAGAACAAAUGUGUAAGUAACUAUGCACGUCUUGACGGUACCUAAUCAGAAAGACACGGCUAACUACGUG